rnacentral:rRNA from 1 species
AUGGCCAUGGGAGCAAGGUCGGCGAUGAAGAAGAGCUUAUUGCUAAUAUUGUUUGUGUUCCCGCUGAUCAUCACGGUGGCUGAUCGCGCCAAGGACAUCCCUGCCUCUAUUCCCCAGGAUCCUCCGGGAAACAAAAUCUGCGGCGCCACCAGCAAAACAUGGGGCGGGUGGAAGCUGUGCGGCAAGCCCGGCACCUGCAAUAAGCCAUGCCAGGCAGAAGGGUACGAGGAGGGCUACUGCGGCUUCUUCCCCUUCAUAACGACAUGUUGUUGCACCAAGCACUGUCUCAGUGCCGGCCCUGGGCAGUCCGUGCAACCUAUACACAAGGGUGACAAACAAACUCAAGCCCUUUUUAAAGAAUGUGGCUUUAUGACCAAUUGA